CACGUAGGCGGAUAUUUAAGUCAGGGGUGAAAUCCCAGAGCUCAACUCUGGGACUGCCUUUGAUACUGGGUAUCUUGAGUAUGGAAGAGGUAAGUGGAAUUCCGAGUGUAGGGGUGAAAUUCGUAGAUAUUCGGAGGAACACCAGUGGCGAAGGCGGCUUACUGGUCCAUUACUGACGCUGAGGUGCGAAAGCGUGGGGAGCAAACA
rnacentral:rRNA from 1 species